CUCAGGAUCUGCCCACAGGUACCCAGAUGCUGGUGACCCCAUAUCAUCACGUCGAGGGGAAGCUGUGUCUGACACUAAUUGAGCACCUACUAUACGCUUGGUGCUGGUCAGAUAACCAGUGCCUGAGAAUCAGGUCCUCUUCUGACAGCCACUUAGAGACAAGGAACCAAGACAGGGUUUCAUGUGACCCAGGCUAGUCUCAAACUCACUACGUAGCCCAAGGAUGACCUUGGACUCCUGGUCCGCCAGCCUCCCUUACCUGAGCACUACGGUUAAAAGCCUGGAGCACCGUACCCUAUUACGAGUGAGAUGCAGCACAGCUCAGUUUCAACUGAGAAAAAAACUGGCCAGCCUGAGGAUACGCAGCAAAUCUAGGCCAGUGAGCUACACACUCAGACCCUGUCUGGGGAAAAAAGGCAACACAAUAAAUAGUUAACAUUGUCAACUUGAUGGUGUGAAGAAUCGAGCCUCCGGUCGUGCGUGGGAGGGAUAUUUUAG